rnacentral:rRNA from 1 species
GACGAACGCUGGCGGCGUGCUUAACACAUGCAAGUCGAACGGAAAGGCCCUGCUUUUGGGGGGUGCUCGAGUGGCGAACGGGUGAGUAACACGUGAGUAACCUGCCCUUGACUUUGGGAUAACUUCAGGAAACUGGGGCUAAUACCGGAUAGGAGCUCCUGCUGCAUGGUGGGGGUUGGAAAGUUUCGGCGGUUGGGGAUGGACUCGCGGCUUAUCAGCUUGUUGGUUGGGUAGUGGCUUACCAAGGCUUUGACGGGUAGCCGGCCUGAGAGGGUGACCGGCCACAUUGGGACUGAGAUACGGCCCAGACUCCUACGGGAGGCAGCAGUGGGGAAUAUUGCACAAUGGGCGGAAGCCUGAUGCAGCAACGCCGCGUGCGGGAUGACGGCCUUCGGGUUGUAAACCGCUUUCGCCUGUGACGAAGCGUGAGUGACGGUAAUGGGUAAAGAAGCACCGGCUAACUACGUG